rfam:Felis catus isolate Cinnamon breed Abyssinian chromosome E1, whole genome shotgun sequence.
GCCUGGGUGGCUCAGUCGGUUAAGCGUCCGACUUCGGCUCAGGUCAUGGUCUCACAUCUUGUGGGUUCGAGCCCCACGUCAGGCU